CUUUCUAACCACGUACUAAUUGCUGUAGUAAUUCUUUUCGUAAAUAACCCAAUGGACAGUGGAAGUCACAUUGGUCUCGAGAGCUCGAGCAGUCACUUUAAUAGCAUGAAUAUUUCAAUUAAAAGGAAUAAGGUACAACAUAAACCAACCUACUAAAAGCAAUGAAAAUAUAAUCUGACAGGUUAUAUACCUGAUUUAGGCACAAAAUGACCUUUAUACAACACUUUUCUUUGUCAGACUCCUGAUGUAGAUGAAGAAAUGCCAUUUCCAGGGAUUUGUCAUCAUCAGCAAAAUGGCCAUCCAAAACGUCAAUAACAGUAUAAGUUCCGCUCAGUUUUCAUUUCCUAAAAAACAAAAUCACCAAAGUCAGAAAUACGUAAUUUAUUGUGGAUGUGGGGUAUUCCCCGAGGGAUAUGUGUUUGCCAAUGUCAACAGCUUAGCACGUCGUCUUGUUCAGACUCAAAGUCGUGGUCGGAAUCUAUGAAGUCCGAAUCUUCCUUACAAUAAGCAAGGCACAUU
rnacentral:lncRNA from 1 species